rnacentral:tRNA from 1 species
CCCUCGAUAGCUCAGUUGGUAGAGCGGAGGACUGUAGAUCCUUAGGUCGCUGGUUCAAAUCCGGCUCGAGAGA